ACUAUCUUCACCUUUACUAGCGCACACACUUAGCACACACACUAUCUUUACCUUUACCUUUACUAGCACACACACUAUCUCCACCUUUACUAGCGCACACACUUUCUUUACCUUUACUAGCACAGUAUCUAGGGCGGUUCAGAAUUGAAAAUUCAUUUCUGUUCUAACAAACUGAAAAAGAAAGUUUGUUACAAUGCCAGUUCCUGUUCUUCACCUCAUGUAUGCCAUGGCCUCUGGCUUGGGUUUAACCACAAUGUAAGAUUCAGCUCACACCACACACUCAUCUACACAAUCAGCGCCUUCUUUGGACCUGACAUUGGCUCCUUCUCCGAGUGGCUUGGCUCUCUUCUUGUUGGACAUACUCUAGUGUCCGAUGCAGCGGAUUACAUCCAUGAUCCUUUCUAUUACAUCUUUUUCUUAGGAAUCCCUUUGUGUUACCUUUACUCUAAGCUUUCAUCCUUUCUUCUUCGUUCACGUCGUCUUGAUUCUGCUCACUCAAGGUUUCUCCCCUUACAAAGAUGCAGUGUUGGUUCUUGAAAUCUGCCGGAUCGUUUACUCAUUUCUUUCGGGAGAAUGGAAAGCAACCACGUACAAAUGGAUUUUGAGCCCUGGUUGGUGAGAUGGCAGGGCAACCGUUAACACAGUAGAAACAAACACACACAGUUGAAAACAAACAAUGAAAAAUACCUCAAAAAGGUGAUCCAAGAAGAAAUGAGUAAACAAUCCGGCAGAUAUCAAGAACCAACGCUCCAUGUUUGUAAGGGGAGAAACCUGCAAAUUAAUAUGAAAUUAAUAUUAGUUAAUAAUAAAUUAAGAGAUUAGGAAGAAAAUUGAGGUAAUCAUCCUGAAGUGAACAAAAUCAAGACGGCGUGAACGAAGAAGAAAGAAUGAAAGCUGAGAGUAAAGGUAACAUAGAGGGAUUUCUAAGAAAAUGAUGUAAUAGAAAGGAUCAUGGAUGUAAUCGGCUGCGUCAGACACUAGAGUAUAUCCGUUAAGAAGAGAGCCAAGCUGCCACUCGGAGAAGGAGCCAAUGUCACGUCCAAAUAAGGCGUUGAUUGUGUAGAUGAGUGUGUGGUCUGAGCUAAAUCUUCAGUCCGGUUAAACCCAAGCCGGAGGCCAUCGCGUACCUGAGGUGAGGAGCAUGGCCUGUCAUUGUAACACAUUUUCUUUUUCAGUUUGUUACAACAAAAUGAAUUAUCAAUUAUGAACAGCCAUAGAACAAGAUAUAUAUGAGUUUGAUACUGUGCUAGUAAAGGUAAAGAUAGUGUGUUGUGUUGUAUGUUUGAGAGACAAUUAUUAGAAUGUUUAUUUACUAACUCUUGUUUAGUUAUUAUUCUCCGUUUAAUUAAGUUUAGUUGUCUGGAGGAAGUCCAUUUGGAGUGUGUUUAAUUGCGAUUAAAGUCAUUGGUUUGAGUUUCGUAGUUACCUAACUCUCUAAGAAUUUAGAAUUGCAAUAAAUAUCAACUUCUUUUAAGUUAAAAGUUUAAAAUACACUUUUCCUUUUAAUUUCCACAAUUUUGUUUCUUUUUAAGAAUUUCAAAAAUGUGAGAAUUAGAUCAAUUUAUAU